GUAAUGAUGAAGAGGGACAGUUGGGGGCAUUCGUAUUUCCCAGCUAGAGGUCAAAUUCUUGGAUUUGGGAAGGACGAACUAAAGCGAAAGCAUUUGCCAAGGAUGUUUUCAUUGAUCAAGAACGAAAGUCAGGGGAUCGAAGACGAUUAGAUACCGUCGUAGUCUUGACCAUAAACGAUGUCGACCUGGGAUCUUCCUUUGUCGUUUUUUUAAUAUGACUAGGGAGGCACCAUGAAGAGAAAUCUCAAGUUUUUGGACUCGGGGGAGAGUAUGUGUCGCAAGGCUGAAAUUUAAAGGAAUUGACGGCAGAGCACCCAAGGAGUGGAACCUGCGGCUUAAUUUGACAACACGCGAAAACCUUACCAGGCCCAGACAUGGCGAGGAUUGACAGACUAACUAGAUUUUUCAUGAUUCUUUGUUGAGCGGUGCAUGGCCGUACUUAGUUCGUAGAUUGAUUCGUCUGCUUAAUUGCGAUAACGAACGAGACCUCCGCCUGUUAACUAGACCUAUUCUUUUUCCAAAGGAUAGCUGUCUUCUUAAAGGGACAAUCUACGCUUUUUUAAAGUAAGUGGAUGGAAGUAGGAGGCAAUUACAGGUCCGUGAUGCCCUUAGCUGGUCUGGGACGCACGCGUGUUACAUUGAUCCAGACAGCGAGUAGUCCACCGGGGGUUGUAAAACGCCCUCGGUGAGUCCUGCCCCGGAAGGGAGCGGGAAAUCUUAUUGAAACUGGGUCGUAACGGGGAUCGUCCUUUGCAAUUAUCGGACGUGAACGAGGAAUUCCUAGUAAGCGCAAUUCAUGACAUUGCGUUGACUCUGUCCCUGCUCUGUGUACACACCGCCCGUCGCUAUUUCCGACGGAAUGCCUUAGUGAGGCCUUUGGAUGUUGGAUCCGGCUGGGAAGCGAUUCCCGACUGGAUUUCUCGACAAAAGCUGGUCAAACUUGGGUAUUCGGAGGAAGUAAAAGUCGUAACAAGGUAAUCGU
rnacentral:rRNA from 1 species